CCUACGGGUGGCAGCAGUGGGGAAUAUUGCACAAUGGGGGGAACCCUGAUGCAGCAACGCCGCGUGGGUGAAGAAGUAUUUCGGUAUGUAAAGCCCUGUCAGCAGGGAAGAUAAUGACGGUAUCUGACCAAGAAGCCCCGGCUAACUCCGUGCCAGCAGCCGCGGUAAUACGUAGGGGGCAAGCGUUAUCCGGAUUUACUGGGUGUAAAGGGAGCGUAGACGGGAGAGCAAGUCUGGAGUGAAAGCCCGUGGCUUAACCACGGAACUGCUUUGGAAACUGUGUUGCUGGAGUGCGGGAGGGGUAAGCGGAAUUCCUGGUGUAGCGGUAAAAUGCGUAGAGAUUAAGAGGAACACCGGUUGCGAAGGCGACUUACUAGACUAUAACUGACGUUGAGGCGCGAAAGCGUGGGGAGCAAACAGGAUUAGAUACCCUAGUAGUC
rnacentral:rRNA from 1 species